GAUGAAGAACGCAGCGAAAUGCGAUAAGUAAUGUGAAUUGCAGAAUUCAGUGAAUCAUCGAAUCUUUGAACGCACAUUGCGCCCCCCAGUAUUCUGGCGGGCAUGCCUGUUCGAGCGUCAUUUCAACCAUCAAGCCCUGCUUGUGUUGGGGUCCUGCGGCUGCCCGCAGGCCCUGAAAACCAGUGGCGGGCUCGCUAGUCACACCGAGCGCAGUAGCACAUCUCGCUCAGGGCGUGCGGCGGGCUCCAGCCGUUAAAGCACCCACCUUUCGCAAGGUUAACCUCGGAUCAGGUAGGAAUACCCGCUGAACUUAAGCAGAUCAAUAAGCGGAGGA
rnacentral:misc_RNA from 1 species